rnacentral:rRNA from 1 species
UUCGCAAUGCCCGAAAGGGUGACGAUGCGACGCCGCGUGAGCGAAGAAGGCCUUAGGGUUGUAAAGCUCUGUCGAGGGUUAUGAAAUGUAAACAGGUUAAUACCCUGUUUAUUUGACAAAAGCCCAAGAGGAAGUCACGGCUAACUCUGUGCCAGCAGCCGCGGUAAUACAGAGGUGGCAAGCGUUGUUCGGUAUUAUUGGGCGUAAAGAGCACGUAGGUGGUUUUAUAAGUCAGGUGUGAAAGCCUUCUGUUCAAAGGGAGAACGGCAUCUGAAACUGUAGAUCCUGAGUAUAGGAGGGGAGAGUGGAACUUCUGGUGGAGCGGUGAAAUGCGUAGAUAUCAGAAGGAACGUCGGCGGCGAAAGCGACUCUCUGGCCUAUUACUGACACUGAGGUGCGAAAGUUAGGGGAGCAAACGGGAUUAGAUACCCCGGUAGUCCUAACCGUAAACGAUGGGCACUAAGUAGAGGGGUUUU